rnacentral:misc_RNA from 3 species
AACGCAUCUUGCGCUCCUUGGUUAAUCCAAGGAGCAUGCCUGUUUGAGUGUCAUUAAUGUCUCAACCACACCGUGAGGUGUGGCUUGGAUUUGGGGGUUACAGGCCUAGUCUGCUCCCCUGAAAUACAUGAGUGGUAACGACCUCUCCAUUAAGAUGUGAUACAUAUCUGCAUCUGGUCGAGGGUUCUGCUGCUAUAUAAGAGUUGGAUUUGAUAAACUUGACCUCAAAUCAGGUAGGACCACCCGCUGAACUUAA